GAGAGGGAGAGAGCGGCCGACGGUAGCGGUUACACGCUGCUGAGGAAAGUCCCCCCACCCACCGGGCACGCAGCCGUACGCAAGUACGGGUGGCGAGAGUCACGGCAAUGGCACAGAAACGGUACGGCCUGUUCUUUGCGAUGAUGCGGUUUUGAGUCGCGAGACGAGAAGCACGGGCGACCGUGCGAGUAACCCGUUGAGCCAUAAAGAACAGGAUACGUUGAAACGGCGAAUCCCUGCGGGUGCAAGCCAGAACAGGACAACAGGACGCCCGGUCUUCCGUCCAGGUUUGGCGCGAUAGCUGAAUGCCGCUAAAACAGAAGGAGGCUUACUCCUCCCACUC
rnacentral:RNase_P_RNA from 1 species